UGCGAGGAAGGUGGGGAUGACGUCAAAUCAGCACGGCCCUUACGGCCUGGGCUACACACGUGCUACAAUGGUCGGUACAAAGGGUUGCCAAGCCGCGAGGUGGAGCUAAUCCCAUAAAACCGAUCGUAGUCCGGAUCGCAGUCUGCAACUCGACUGCGUGAAGUCGGAAUCGCUAGUAAUCGUGAAUCAGAAUGUCACGGUGAAUACGUCCCGGGCCUU
rnacentral:rRNA from 1 species